rnacentral:lncRNA from 1 species
CUUUAUUGCACUUUUCUUUGCUGUUGUAACAAAUUACUCGACCUACAGCAGUUGGCCGAGUAUCCCUGUGAAUUAGUCACUGGAUAACCAGGGAAUUUAUUCAGUGAAUAAAUAUAUAAGAUCAUAGUUUGUUAGUUUUACAGUUCAUGGUUAUUACAUACAUUUUACAAACUAUAUUGUUUCAUAAUUACGGAAAGUGUACAGUUUUGUCCGGUUUUGUUUCUAAAGAUUAAAACUUUAUGAUCGUUGACCUUUAACCUUAUUGAUGAAAACCGUUGAAGCUUGUUGAUCAAUUGUCCGGAUUAAUUUAUAUGUUUUAUUGAUACACACGAACAACUUAAACUUUAGUUAAAAAUUACAUGUGGUAAGUUUCGACGUUGUAGUUGGAAAUUCAUUUGAUUAAG